GCAUAUUGGACAAUGGGGGGAACCCUGAUCCAGCCAUGCCGCGUGUGUGAAGAAGGCCUUUUGGUUGUAAAGCACUUUAAGCGAGGAGGAGGCUACUCUAGUUAAUACCUAGAGAUAGUGGCCGUGACUCGCAGCAUAAGCACCGGCCAACUCUGUGCCAGCAGCCGCGGUAAUACAGAGGGUGCAAGCGUUAAUCGGAUUUACUGGGCGUAAAGCGCGCGUAGGUGGCCAAUUAAGUCAAAUGUGAAAUCCCCGAGCUUAACUGGGGAAUUGCAUUCGAGACUGGUUGGCUAGAGUAUGGGAGAGGAUGGUAGAAUUCCAGGUGUAGCGGUGAAAUGCAUAGAGAUCUGGAGGAAUACCGAUGGCGAAGGCAGCCAUCUGGCCUAAUACUGACACUGAGGUGCGAAAGCAUGGGGAGCAAACA
rnacentral:rRNA from 1 species